GCCGAGGUGGCGGAAUUGGUAGACGCGCUGGCUUCAGGUGCCAGUGAUGGCAACAUCGUGGAGGUUCAAGUCCUCUCCUCGGCACCA
rnacentral:tRNA from 1 species